rfam:Homo sapiens chromosome 19, GRCh38 reference primary assembly.
GCCUGGCUUGGUGGCGCGUGCCUGUAAUCCUGGCUACUUGGGAGGCUGAGGCAGGAGAAUUGCUUGAACCUGGGAGGCAGAGGUUGCAGUGAGCCGAGAUUGCCCCACUGCACUCCAGCCUAGGUGACAGAGCAAGAUUCUGCCUCGA